UACGAGGGGAGCAAGCGUUGUUCGGAUUUACUGGGCGUAAAGGGCGCGUAGGCGGCCACGACAAGUCACUUGUGAAAUCUCCGGGCUUAACUCGGAACGGUCAAGUGAUACUGUCGGGCUAGAGUACAGAAGGGGCAACUGGAAUUCUCGGUGUAGCGGUGAAAUGCGUAGAUAUCGAGAGGAACACCAUGGCGAAGGCAGCUCGCUGGGACGUUACUGACGCUGAGACGCGAAAGCGUGGGGAGCAAACAGG
rnacentral:rRNA from 1 species